GCCUAUGGCCCUACCAUCCUGAGCGCUCCCGAUCUUGUCUGAUCUUGGAAGCCAGGCAGUGUCAGGCCUGGCUGGUUAGUCCCUGGAUUUGUUUCCCAUCCAGGGCUAACCAGGCC
rnacentral:rRNA from 1 species